GGUGAGUAACACGGUGGGAACGUGCCUUUAGGUUCGGAAUAACUCAGCGGAAACUUGUGCUAAUACCGAAUGUGCCCUUCGGGGGAAAGAUUUAUCGCCUUUAGAGCGGCCCGCGUCUGAUUAGCUAGUUGGUGAGGUAAAAGCUCACCAAGGCGACGAUCAGUAGCUGGUCUGAGAGGAUGACCAGCCACACUGGGACUGAGACACGGCCCAGACUCCUACGGGAGGCAGCAGUGGGGAAUCUUGCGCAAUGGGCGAAAGCCUGACGCAGCCAUGCCGCGUGAAUGAUGAAGGUCUUAGGAUUGUAAAAUUCUUUCACCGGGGACGAUAAUGACGGUACCCGGAGAAGAAGCCCCGGCUAACUUCGUGCCAGCAGCCGCGGUAAUACGAAGGGGGCUAGCGUUGCUCGGAAUUACUGGGCGUAAAGGGCGCGUAGGCGGAUCGUUAAGUCAGGGGUGAAAUCCCGGGGCUCAACCUCGGAACUGCCCUUGAUACUGGCGAUCUUGAGUAUGAGAGAGGUAUGUGGAACUCCGAGUGUAGAGGUGAAAUUC
rnacentral:rRNA from 1 species